GACAGAGGUGGCAAGCGUUGUUCGGAUUUACUGGGCGUAAAGAGUGCGUAGGUGGUUCGGUAAGACCUGUGGGAAAGCCCAGGGCUUAACCCUGGAAGGUCGCAGGUGACUGCCGGGCUAGAGGACGGGAGAGGAGAGCGGAAUUCCCGGUGUAGCGGUGAAAUGCGUAGAGAUCGGGAAGAAGGCCGGUGGCGAAGGCGGCUCUCUGGAACGUUCCUGACACUGAGGCACGAAAGCGUGGGGAGCAAACAGG
rnacentral:rRNA from 1 species